GACGAACGCUGGCGGCGUGCUUAACACAUGCAAGUCGUACGGUAAGGCCCUUUCGGGGGUACACGAGUGGCGAACGGGUGAGUAACACGUGAGUAACCUGCCCACAACUUUGGGAUAACGCUAGGAAACUGGUGCUAAUACUGGAUAUGUGCUCCUGCUGCAUGGUGGGGGUUGGAAAGCUCCGGCGGUUGUGGAUGGAUUCGCGGCCUAUCAGCUUGUUGGUGGGGUAGUGGCCUACCAAGGCGGCGACGGGUAGCCGGCCUGAGAGGGUGACCGGCCACAUUGGGACUGAGAUACGGCCCAGACUCCUACGGGAGGCAGCAGUGGGGAAUAUUGCACAAUGGGCGCAAGCCUGAUGCAGCAACGCCGCGUGCGGGAUGACGGCCUUCGGGUUGGAAACCGCUUUCAGCAGGGACGAAGCUUUUUGUGACGGUACCUGCAGAAGAAGCACCGGCUAACUACGUG
rnacentral:rRNA from 1 species